CCUCAGUCCAGCGAGCAGGAUUCAGGCUAACGAAAGCUGCAUACCAUCCUGAGUACAGGUGCCUGCCCCUGCCACACACUAGCUAGGAAAGCCUGUCCCCAAAUCCCAGCGAUCCAUUCCUGAGUACAAGCAGACCAAAGGCCCCACCCAGGGGGAUGGCGCAGCCAAAGCUAGAACAAGGUAACCGAGUGUUCAUCUGAGCACAUUUCCCAGGGUCAGUGGCUGAAAGUCGUGAGUGCCAUCGUGGCCACCCAGGUUGUUAAGCAUCACCCAGGUGUCUGGUGUCUGGAGGAAGCUCCAGCCUGGGUCUCUGAACCCCCAAGUUCAAGGCAUAUCUGCACCGACUGGUACUGGACUCACCCAUCCACACGUCACCUUAGUGUCACUUAUUGGCAACGCCAUAGAACAGCAGGCCCUUGCAUUCUACAUUUCUUUUGGAAGUUACCCAUUCAUGAGUAAAAACAGGAAAAUGUCACUUGGUAAAUGCAAUCUUUUUGUUUUAAAACCUAGAAGACGGGUGAAUGGGAAGGGGAGUGGUUCUGAUACUGUGUCUGAACAAAGCUUUAAUGAAGAUAUGUAUGUUGGAAGUAUUAUGAAAGUGUGAUUCUAAUUUUGCAGAAAAAAGUCUAUCAAUUUAUAUAGCUUUAUUUUUUACCUUAUCAAGAGAUACAGAAUUUUAAUAUGCAUAUAUUGUCUGACUUAGAAUCAUGUGUGUCUGCAUUACCACUUAAAAUGUUUAUCUAGUAUGUAAUGUAUGAAUAAGAGAGAAUCGGAGAUGUAUUUAACAUGAAUGGUUAUCUGUAGCUGUC
rnacentral:lncRNA from 1 species